rnacentral:rRNA from 1 species
UACAGAGGGUGCAAGCGUUGUUCGGAAUCAUUGGGCGUAAAGCGCGUGUAGGCGGCCCGAUAAGUCCGCCGUGAAAGUCCAGGGCUCAACCCUGGGAUGCCGGUGGAUACUGUCGGGCUCGAGUCCGGAAGAGGCGAGUGGAAUUCCUGGUGUAGCGGUGAAAUGCGCAGAUAUCAGGAGGAACACCAAUGGCGAAGGCAGCUCGCUGGGACGUGACUGACGCUGAGACGCGAAAGCGUGGGGAGCAAACAGG